rnacentral:rRNA from 1 species
AUUGAACGCUGGCGGCAGGCCUAACACAUGCAAGUCGAGCGGAUGAAGGGAGCUUGCUCCUGGAUUCAGCGGCGGACGGGUGAGUAAUGCCUAGGAAUCUGCCUGGUAGUGGGGGAUAACGUCCGGAAACGGGCGCUAAUACCGCAUACGUCCUGAGGGAGAAAGUGGGGGAUCUUCGGACCUCACGCUAUCAGAUGAGCCUAGGUCGGAUUAGCUAGUUGGUGGGGUAAAGGCCUACCAAGGCGACGAUCCGUAACUGGUCUGAGAGGAUGAUCAGUCACACUGGAACUGAGACACGGUCCAGACUCCUACGGGAGGCAGCUGUGGGGAAUAUUGGGCAAUGGGCGAAAGCCUGAUCCAGCCAUGCCGCGUGUGUGAAGAAGGUCUUCGGAUUGUAAAGCACUUUAAGUUGGGAGGAAGGGCAGUAAGUUAAUACCUUGCUGUUUUGACGUUACCAACAGAAUAAGCACCGGCUAACUUCGUG